CCUACGGGGGGCUGCAGUCGAGAAUCAUUCACAAUGGGGGAAACCCUGAUGGUGCGACGCCGCGUGGGGGAAUGAAGGUCUUCGGAUUGUAAACCCCUGUCAUGUGGGAGCAAAUUAAAAAGAUAGUACCACAAGAGGAAGAGACGGCUAACUCUGUGCCAGCAGCCGCGGUAAUACAGAUGUCUCAAGCGUUGUUCGGAAUCACUGGGCGUAAAGCGUGCGGAGGCUGUUUCGUAAGUCGUGUGUGAAAGGCGCGGGCUCAACCCGCGGACGGCACAUGAUACUGCGAGACUAGAGUAAGGGAGGGGGAACCGGAAUUCUCGGUGUAGCAGUGAAAUGCGUAGAUAUCGAGAGGAACACUCGUGGCGAAGGCGGGUUCCUGGACAUUAACUGACGCUGAGGCACGAAGGCCAGGGGAGCGAAAGGGAUUAGAUACCCCUGUAGUC
rnacentral:rRNA from 1 species